UGUGUACGAUACGCUUUCUUUGAGUCGAGUUGUUUGGGAAUACAGCUCAAAGUAGGUGGUAAAUUCCAUCUAAAGCUAAAUAUUGGUGCGAGACCGAUAGCGAACAAGUACCGUGAGGGAAAGAUGAAAAGAACUUUGAAAAGAGAGUUAAAGAGUACCUGAAACUGUUGAAAGGGAACCGUAUCGUUUCCAGUGUUGUAUCCUAUGCAUAUUUCAUUCGCGGAGUAAUUUGCGGGUGCCCUGUGCAUGGGUGUGACGUCAGGGUCAGUUUGUAUGCUGCGGGAGAUGGUCAGUGAGGAGGUGCGUCACUUCGGUGAAAGUUAUAUCUCGCUGUCUAGUAGCCGUGGUUGAGACUGAGGUGCCUACAACAUGCCUUAAGGUUCCGUGUUGUCUCGUGUUGGUGACUGCUUUGAUAGCUUGCUAUGUCUGUGGUUUAUCAGUGCGAUUGAUGAUGCGGAUAACUUUUGCUGUUCGGGACUCUGGCGAAAUGGAGCGAUACGACCCGUCUUGAAACACGGACCAAGGAGUCUAACAUGUGUGCAAGUAUUAGGGCGUGGAAACCCAAAUGCGUAAUGAAAGUAAAUGCUGCUUAUGCAGCUGUGGUAGGAAAGGGCUGUCAAGGUCCUGGCACUAUCGACCGAUCAUGAGCCUACGGGCAAAAGAUUUGAGUAUGAGCAUAUAUGUUGGUACCCGAAAGAUGGUGAACUAUGCCUGAAUAGGGUGAAGCCAGGGGAAACUCUGGUGGAAGCUCGUAGCGAUUCUGACGUGCAAAUCGAUCGUCAAAUUUGGGUAUAG
rnacentral:rRNA from 1 species